rnacentral:rRNA from 1 species
GACGAACGCUGGCGGCGUGCUUAACACAUGCAAGUCGAACGGAAAGGCCCUGCUUUUGUGGGGUGCUCGAGUGGCGAACGGGUGAGUAACACGUGAGUAACCUGCCCUUGACUUUCGGAUAACUUCAGGAAACUGGGGCUCAUACCGGAUAGGAGCUCCUGCACCAUGGUGGGGUUGGAAAGUUUCGGCGGUUGGGGAUGGACUGGCGGCUAAUCAGCUUGUUGGUGGGGUAGGGGCUGACCAAGGCUUUGCCGGGUAGCCGGCCUGAGAGGGUGACCGGGCACAUUGGGACUGCGAUACGGCCCAGACGCCUACGGGAGGCAGCAGUGGGGAAUAUUGCACAAUGGGCGGAAGCCUGAUGCAGCAGCGCCGCGUGCGGGAUGACGGCCUUCGGGUUGUAAACCGCUUUCGCCUGUGACGAAGCGUGAGUGACGGUAAUGGGUAAAGAAGCACCGGCUAACUACGUG